rnacentral:lncRNA from 1 species
CGGGGCUGUGCCCUUUAACUGGCCUCCAAGACUGAGUGAGAGCACACGGAGAAGGCCUUUCCAAAGUGCAACAGACCUUUUCUAUGGUGCUAUUUACAAACCAAACAAGGUUGAAGAUAGAUUACUUCCUGCCAUCCAGCUCACAGGAAAGAAGCACUUCGCUCAGGUAUAGGAUAUACAUCAAGGAACAAAGGAGCUGCGGACAGCAUCUCAUCUUGUUUAAAUCAAUGGACAUGAAGAUGCAAACGUGCAUUCAGGCCGGAAUAGAACUUCAUCGCGCCAUCAUGCUCAGGGGGAGAACUGCUUCUAUUACUUUAAAAACUUGACUUUGCAAACCAGCCUCGAAAGCCUCUGUUCCCCCAUCUCCCCCUGCCUCCCAUGCAUUAAUUCUAUGGAGACAAAGUUAAACGCAUAAUUUGUAAAACUAUUGAGAAGUAAACUUCUGGUUCCACCGUAACUGGGAGUAGGUGCCAAAUGAAGAUAAAUCUUUCCCGGGGUAGGAAGCCCCACACUGUUUAGAAAACAAUUCUGAGACUUGGCCACUGUUGACACUGAUUGCAGGCUCACGCCGCCACGGGCACGACGGCCGCUCUCACACAAGGCUUUCAGGGGCAGGGUUAACACUUUUCAAAAAUCACUGGCUUCCCAAAUAAAUACGGUGAUUUAGUGGAGAUUUUGAUUGUCUUGGGGGGGGGUGUCCCUGAGAGCAGAAGCUUUCAUUCAUCUCUAAGCAGGUGUGUAAUGAGAAUAGAGGCUGUGUUGAUAAGAGAACCCUAGGAGUGGGUAAUAUAUUAUCCUCUGUAAUUUCUUCCCAAAAUAGACUUAAUGGGAAGAGGAUGCAUAAUCUACCGCUUCUCAAAGGAAGCGUUCUCCAAGACAACAGAAGCAGUCAUUCUAAAAACAGCUUUAUGGCUCUUCAGUCAAUAGCUCUAUUUUCUUCCCUUUCACAACUUCCUCCCUUCUACAACGUCAGAAUGCAUGUGUGGACACACACAUUCACAUCUCCUGCACACACAACUGAAAACGCCCCGGAGAUCUGCGUCUUCCCACUCAUUGAAAAUUGAAGUCAUUUAUGGGAUGCAGUUGAACCCGAGUACUUUACAAUGUUUUGCAUGUAAUUUCAUUUGCCCUCCACAUCUGAUGGUGAAGAACCAUGAAUUGGCUUUGGGUGAAAUUCAGUUCAAGGAGCAAUUACUAAGUACCCUUCUAUGAAGUCUUGUAUUCGACUCGAAGACAAGUAAGGGUUCCUGAAAUAGGACGAGAGGGCAAGCGGUACAUGUCCCUGAAGUUCAGGAGCAGAAUCUGAACUCUGGCGUCCACACUGCUGAUUAUCCAUCCUCAUCACCCAC